CCAAUAGCGUAUAUUAAAGUUGUUGCAGUUAAAAAGCUCGUAGUUGAAUUUCGGGAUCAAGUCUUCGGUCGUGCUUCGGUACGUACUGGAGUCAUUGAUUUCUCCCUUCUGACGAACCAUGAUGUCAUUAACUUGGUGUUAUGGGAAAUCAGGACUGUUACUUUGAAAAAAUUAGAGUGUUUAAAGCAGGCUCACGCUUGAAUACAUUAGCAUGGAAUAAUGAAAUAGGACGUUCGAACCUAUUUUGUUGGUUUUUAGGAUCAACGUAAUGAUUAAUAGGGAUAGUUGGGGGCAUUAGUAUUCAAUUGUCAGAGGUGAAAUUCUUGGAUUUAUUGAAGACUAACUACUGCGAAAGCAUUUGCCAAGGAUGUUUUCAUUAAUCAAGAACGAAAGUUAGGGGAUCGAAGACGAUCAGAUACCGUCGUAGUCUUAACCAUAAACUAUGCCGACUAGGGAUCGGAUGAUGUUAAUUUUUUAAUGACUCAUUCGGCGCCUUACG
rnacentral:rRNA from 1 species